GCAUUCUCAGAGUCAGUUGUGCACUACCGGUUGCGAAGUACGGGUCGUACUGUGAUUACGUGUUCAUUGACUGGUAUUCGUGAGUUAAGAAUAACAUUUUACGGUAUCGGAGAAACUGAAACAACGUGCGUGUGACACGUUCUUUGCAUUCUAUUUAACCUUUCGAGGAAACACGCUCGUUCUACACUAUCGUGUGUUAGCGUUUCGAAAACACUUUUGCUCUCGUGUACGAGUCAGUUGCAUUCGCGUUUUUCGCUACGACCUCGUCUGAGUGAAACAGAACCUGUGAAACAAACUGUCGUCGAAGAAGUCUAGAAAUGAGAAAACUUAUGGAGAAACAGCUGUCUUGGCUUGCCUUACUCGUCACUGCGUUCUACUCUCUGCUUGGCAGUUGUCGGGGCGAAGAGUGCGGACACGAAAGGUUGGUGAAGUGCGGAAGACCACUCGAGAGAAUCAACAGGAACGAUUUGAGUUUCGCCGUGAAAAAGGAGGAACUUCAGCAGCUAUGCCCAGAUUUCGAGGCUGGCAUGAAGUGCAUCCAGACGUACACGUUGGAUUGUCUGCAGGAGAAACAAAGGGAACACUUCAACUCAUUGUACGCAGGCACCAACAAGGUGGUCAUGGAGCUGUGUCAAGAUGGCCCUUAUCAGGACGAAUUCCUACGACAUGCACCAUGCAUGCAAAAGGUGCAACCGAAAUACGAGACCUGUUACAAGAAGUACCAAAGAAUCACUCAGGAUAUCGAAAGCGGAAAUCAAAUUGCGAACCCGAAUGAACCCCUCAAGCCUUUGUGCUGUGGCUUCAGGGAAUUUUUGGAAUGCUCGCAUCAUACGAUUCGUCGGCAAUGUGGCUAUGACACAGCUCAAUUUGCAAAGGGGUUCCUCGACAGAAUGUCGUCCUCACUUCUUAAGAUCCGUGUUGGACGAGUAUAACGAGAGUAAUGAGAUUUUCAUUCAGCCGAUAUCGGUGAUCUGCGAAUUCAACGAGGAAAGAUGGCUAUGCAUUAACAAUUAAUGUUAAUCAACCUUUCUUUUCUCUACUGUCGCGUGAUUCAUGCAAGCAUCGACAACGUCAUAAAUUUUUAAACAUCCUAAAUUUAUUCUACGCUCUGUAAUUACCUUGGAAUUAUACGGAGUGCACGAUAAGUGAAACAUAGUGCUUGGUAUUGCAAACAAAACCUCUGGAGACCGCGAUACGAGCAUUGCGCAAGUGAGGUAUCUGAUCAUUAACUUGAAGUACGGGGACAAGUCGAUAUAUCUACGAUGAAGUUUUGAUCGACGAACUGUUCGUUGUCUUUGGUAUCUGUUUCGAAUUCCAAUUCGAAUUUGUCAUGCUGCAAAAUAUCGGGGAGUAUCAAUAUUUCAUUCGCAAAAAUAUCUAGUCUGUAAUCUGAAUUAAAAAUUUCUCUGGAAUGAAUUUUCUAAGUUUUAGAUUGGAAUCUAAGUAGAAUUUAGAGGCGAAAAAGAUUGUAUUUCGGAGCUGAAAUAUGCAAUAUUAAUGUGACACAAGAUAACGGCAAAUAUUAGAUUUUGAGUCGAAAUGUAAUCCAGAAUAAGUAUAAAUUUACGAAGUACGAAGUUGAGAAAUAACGAGCUAACUAAAAAUUAUUCAUAAGGCCUUUAAUCAAUAUUGAUUAUACACAGUGCAUUCAAAAAGUUCCGGAACUAAUAUCAUUAAGAACACGGAUUUUAAGCUUAGAAAACAGGAAGAAGUCAGCAGGGGCAAAAUUCACGGAAUAAAGUGGGUUCUGCGUAACCCAUCAACCAAGCGUCAAAAAGGGAAACGUGAAUAGUGCGAUCCAGGAGAUGUCAGACCGAUGAAAGUGAGGGCUGCAAAAACAAAAGUGAAAACAACGUUGAUUGCAUUUUAAUGCGUUACUUAAUGAUGACAUGUUGAUGAAUGGACAUUAUAAUCUCCCUUAUUUCUUGUCGGUGUGAUCUUGUAAAAUAUUGCAGUACAUUAUCGUAUCUGGAGCACAUAAACAGCAGUAAACUAAUAUUUGUUUCAUUUGUAGAUACUAGUAUAAAUGAACAUAAUUUUUAUUUCAACUGAUAUUGUCUGUUGUUCGCAUUGAAAUCAUAGACAUUUCACGCUGAAGUAUAAUCUUAGGUUUAUCAAUUUAUCACGGAUCUUACUCUUGUAAUCUUACUUUCGUGUUCUUGUUUUACUUAUCUUUUCAUACUUGGUUUGCCAUUUUAAAUUAAUUAUUUGGACUGCUACAGCUACAGCAAGAAUUAUCUCUAUUGGAAUUAUUUUAUCUUCUAAAAAUACAAAACUAAUAUUCAAAUUCUUGCGGUGAAACUAAUUAAGUUAGUCGAUAACAAUAUAGAUAUGUUUUCAUAUUUCGUAAUUUUACGAUUAAUUUCGGCACUACUUUUAAAGAAAUUUAGUCAAAAUUAUCGCUAUUUUCCAUUGUAUCUAAACUAUUUCGCGAGCGUGGCGUAUCGUUUACUUUUUUACAUUUGUUUCUCCAAGACGAUAAAACGCAAUAGUGGCGCACGUAGCACGUAACGUGUACAGUUUCCGCAAUUGAAUGGCCAGAUAAAAGUAUUUCGGGAAUGAAGGAAGAUAGAAAAUAGAAAUUUGUAGAAUGUUCAUAAUGGAAAACACUGCAGAUGCUUGUUUUUAACUUUAAAUAAAAACGCGGAUGACGGCGGUUGGCCAGAAACGAUUUUUAAUAAUGCAUUCUCAUGAUAUCGAUCUAAAUCUCGAAGCUCUGAUUAUGCUGUAUAUUUUGUGUCAAUGAAACGCAUUCUAUUCCCACAUCGGUUAAAACCGUAAAAUAUCUCAGGUUGAAUUGUAUAGUUAAAUGUAAGUCUAGAAUUUUAAUGUUCUUUCUUCCCUUUUCUUUUGUCCCCUUUUUUCCAGUUUCCAACGGUGAGCUUUCUCGUUGUUUAAAAUUGUUGUAUUUUACAAACUGCUUUCCAACGAAGUUCGCAAUUGCUUACUGCGAACUGUUCUCCUGCAAUGGUAAUUACUGUAAUUAAAUACUUCAAGUUCAGCUAAUUUUACUUUGCACUAUAAUGGAAAAAUGUGCCGUGCCACGAUUAGGAGCUGGUUUUCGUGGUGCCUUGCUUUCCACUUCCAGAAAGUAUGAACUAUUCCUUCCAACCUUCUCUCUUUUGGACAAUUUUUACGCAACAAAUUAUGAAAUAUCAAGAUCUGCUAUUGUACCAGAUGUAGCUAAAAUAUUCUUCAUGUGAAAGAUUAAAAAAUUUCAGUACGUUGAAUUAGCAUAAUAUUUUAUAAAUAUGCAUAACUUGUUUGUAUCGUUUUAGUUUAAUCAAACUAAUAUUUUCUCAUUUUAAAUGUAUUCUACUGUGUCACAUUUUUACUUAUAACAGGGAAACUAAAAAGACAUGCCAACUUACUGCAGUCUUUCCUGUUGAUUAUUAACUAUUGAGAAACUAAACUUUUAAACAGAAAACACGAUCGAAUGAACAGAAAAAUUACAGAUAAUAUUCAGCAAGAAUUUUCAUUAAUACCAUAUUUUAAUCAAUGUUAAAACACGAGUGGUCCGUAACACAAGUUUCCACUCGUAUAGCGACAAAUCUGUAAAUCCAUAAAUAAACGAUAUCAGAAUAAUAAAAAAAUCCGACCAAUUGGAGACCCAAAUAAUCGAUAGUCGGAUAAUCAGCAUUUUAGUACAUUAGUACCGAAAACAGAAGGACCCUUUUCCUUGUUGAAUUCCAAUUACCAUUCACCUAUUUUUUCCAUUAGUAUCGAGUGGAAAUAAUUCACAGUUGAGUCGUUUGCAACGAACGUGUUAGAAAAUUUAGGAAAUACAUUUUGAAACUAAAUGACUUAUCAUCGUCGAGUUUUCUCGGAUAUUGAAUUCAUAAAGCUAUGAGCACGUUGCCUGGUGCACCAUAAACGCGGUAAAAGUCGCUGAGAUAGAGAGAUUCAGCGUAGCCUGGGAACGAAAGUAAAACACUUGAAUUUUCAUAUACGACAACAGAAAUCCUGAUAUACGCUCGUUUCACCGAGUCGACUUUAGAAACACUCGAUCAAAUUUUCCAGACGCUUCUCCACUAUCUCCAUUUGCAUUCAGACGUCGACUACGCGUCCUAUACUUUGUGAACGUCUUGUUUCAACAUCCGUUCCCAGCGAGGUAUAUGGUUUCCUAGCUUAACUUACAUUAGAUGUAAUUAUUUAAGGGAUUAAUUUGGUUCAAAUAACCUGAGAAAUAUAUAUUGUCAGAAUGUGGUAAAUUCCGGCGUUACAGUAUUGUUUCGAUGGCAUGAAUAUUAUGCAAUGCCUGUGAGGAACUGGUACAAGUUAUGCAUAUUGGGAAGUGUAGAUAAAUCGGUAAUAUUUACGUUUUAAUUACAUCAAUAGGUAAUAUGUAUUUGAAAUAAUUCAAGACUGGAAAUUGUAAGGUUAUUAUUAUCCUUAAGUGAAAUAAUAAUCUACAUAGAAAAUUUGCUGUUUAAGAUUUAUGAUUAUACAUGCCUGGUUUAAAUGUAUAUUGUACACAUGAUGUUAUUUCUCUAACUCUUGAAAAUAUAAAAGGAUCUUUUAUAUCGAAAUUAAUGAAAGCUUGAGAUUCUUUUUAAUUAUUAUUUGUGGAAACUUCAAUAUCAAUGCAAUUUUUUGAAGUGAAGAUAUAUAUAUUUU